AACUGUGAGAGGAGGAGAAGAGAAGAAAGGAUCAGAUUUGACACAUCAAAGAGAGAGAUCAGACUCUCACGUUGACAGCGGUAAGAGUCCUUCGGGGGAUCCGGACCCAGCGACGUCCAAACCAGCUGGACGACACCACUGCGCCCAGUGUGGAAAGAGUUUUAACCAUUUAGGGAACCUGAAAACGCACGGGAGGACACAUACGGGAGAGAAGCCGUACCACUGCCCCCUCUGUGGAAAGAGAUUCACCCAUUCAGGGAGCCUGAAAGCACAUACAAAAAUACACACAGGGGAGAAACCUUAUCACUGCUCUCAGUGCGGAAAGAGAUUUAUCCAGUUAGGGAACCUGGAAUCACACGAGAGAACUCACACAGAAGUAAAGAGGCUUUUCCACUGUUCUCAUUGUGAAAAAACGUUUAAGAAUUUAGGGAACCUGAAAGUGCAUGAGAAAUGCCAUACAGGCGGGAAGCUUUUUCGCUGCUCCCAGUGUGGAACGAUAUUUACCCAGUUUAGGCAUCUGACAGACCACGAGGUAACACACACAGGGAAGAUGCCGUACCACUGCUCCCAGUGUGGAAAGACAUAUUUCACGUCACAUGCACAUAGUCUUC